rnacentral:ribozyme from 1 species
UAUUUUGAUAUUCUGUUUUUUAUUUGGGGCCCUUCUUCUUUUGUUUCCCUGUUUCUUUUUGUUCUGUCCGCAUUCUAGAUAAGGAGAUGAAACAAAAAUUUACAAUUGAUACAUGCAAGUAAAAGAUCACAAAUAAGUCAA